UACAGAGGUCCCAAGCGUUGUUCGGAUUCAUUGGGCGUAAAGGGUGCGUAGGUGGCGUCGUAAGUCGGGUGUGAAAUCUCGGGGCUUAACUCCGAAACUGCAUUCGAUACUGCGGUGCUUGAGGACUGGAGAGGAGACUGGAAUUUACGGUGUAGCAGUGAAAUGCGUAGAGAUCGUAAGGAAGACCAGUGGCGAAGGCGGGUCUCUGGACAGUUCCUGACGCUGAGGCGCGAAGGCCAGGGGAGCAAACGGG
rnacentral:rRNA from 1 species